rnacentral:rRNA from 1 species
AUUGAACGCUGGCGGCAGGCCUAACACGCAAGUCGAAUGGUAACAGGAAACAGCUUGCUGUUUCGCUGACGAGUGGCGGACGGGUGAGUAAUGUCUGGGAAACUGCCUGAUGGAGGGGGAUAACUACUGGAAACGGUAGCUAAUACCGCAUAACGUCGCAAGACCAAAGAGGGGGACCUUCGGGCCUCUUGCCAUCAGAUGUGCCCAGAUGGGAUUAGCUAGUAGGUGGGGUAACGGCUCACCUAGGCGACGAUCCCUAGCUGGUCUGAGAGGAUGACCAGCCACACUGGAACUGAGACACGGUCCAGACUCCUACGGGAGGCAGCAGUGGGGAAUAUUGCACAAUGGGCGCAAGCCUGAUGCAGCCAUGCCGCGUGUAUGAAGAAGGCCUUCGGGUUGUAAAGUACUUUCAGCGGGGAGGAAGGGAGUAAAGUUAAUACCUUUGCUCAUUGACGUUACCCGCAGAAGAAGCACCGGCUAACUCCGUG